GGUUUCUGAAAACAAAGUUAAGAAACACCAUGCGAGGUUGACCAUGUAAACCUCAAACAAUGGGAAUAUUAGAACGUUUAAGUCAGUCUAUAAUUUGUUGUUUCUAACAUGACAUGCAAUGCAUGCUGAAAAGAAGAAGAGAACCAUCACAAGUGAGGGGUGAUCAAUAUUACAUCCUAGUCGUAACCACAGAACUGAGUAGUCUUUCUUAAACGUCUAGAAGAGUAUCGAAUUAGAGUCCAUCCUUGAAAUAUCAGAUUGGCCAGAGAGAAAGAGAGAGAGAAUGAGAAAUACCCAAUGCUCUUUGUGGCUCUCCACCGCUCUGAUCGCUCUCUUCCCAAUCGCCGCCGGGGCCAUUGAAACCAUCACCGCAACGCAGCCUCUCUUCCCCAACCAAACCAUGGUCUCUGCCGGGGGAGUUGUGGAACUGGGCUUCUUCUCCCCGGGAAAUUCAAACAAAUGGUACGUCGGGGUUUGGUAUAAGGACAGUGAUCCAGACAGAACCGUCGUCGUCUGGGUUGCUAACAGAGACAACCCAUUGACAAACAGCUCGUCCGGGUCGUUGAAAAUCGGCGACGAUGGAAACCUCUUGCUGGUUGACGAAGCUGCAAAUUCAGUGGUGUGGUCAUCGACGUCGAACCGGACGAGCUCGGCGAACACCGUGGCGCAGCUUCUGGAUUCGGGCAACUUAGUUGUUCGGAGAGAAAACGACGUCGAUCCGGAGAAUUAUCUGUGGCAAAGCUUUGACUAUCCGACGGACACUUUCUUGCCGGGGAUGAAGAUGGGUUGGGAUGCAAAAACUGGGCUUAACAGGUACCUAACUUCGUGGAAGAGAAAUGACGAUCCAUCAACUGGUGACUAUUCUUCCAAGCUAGACGUUCAUGGAUUGCCAGAGCUAUACUUGUGGGCCAAAAAAGCAAGAGUGUAUAGAACAGGGCCGUGGAACGGAUUGGGAUUUAGCGGCGUUCCAGAGAUGGGUCCCACCUACAACAUCAGUUUCACAUUUGUAUCGGAGAAAGACGAGAUUUCAUAUUCAUUUCAGCUGGAAGACAAGUCCCUGAAUUCUAGGUUGACUUUGAACCCCAUCGGCGUUGUGCAACGCUUCGCUUGGAUAAUAGGUACAAGCCGGAAUCCGACCCUCUUCUGGUACUCGCCGAAAGACCAAUGCGACAACUACAUGGAAUGCGGCGUUUAUGGUGUUUGUGACAUUAAUGCUUCACCGGUCUGUAAAUGCAUCCAAGGGUUCGAGCCCAAGGAUCCACGGGCUUGGAAGAUGAGAAAUGGGUCUGGUGGCUGCGUAAGGACUUCGAAGUUGAGCUGUCAUGGAGAUGGGUUUUGGCCGUUGAAGAACAUGAAGGUGCCGCAGACUUCAACGGUGUUCUCUAACAAAAGCAUGAGUUUGUUGGAGUGCAAGCAGGCUUGCAUCAGAGAUUGCUACUGCACUGCCUAUGCCAAUUUGGACAUUAGGCAAGGUGGCUCUGGGUGUGUGAUGUGGAGCGGUGAUCUUCUUGAUAUGAGGCAGUACGCCGGCGGAGAAGGCGGCCAAGAUCUAUAUGUGAGAGUUUCUGCCGCUGAUUUAGAAACAGGUGGAAGCAUCGGAAACAAUAAUAAUACUAGUAAAACUGGACAAAUUGUUAUGAUCGUCGGCAUUGCGGUUGGUGCUGGUGUUUUGCUAUUAGUAUCAAGCAUAUGUUUUGUACGACAAAGAAAGCGAAUGAAAAGGACAUUGAGAGAAAAGAUUCAACGUAGAGGUUUACGUAAAAGAAAUCAAGAUAUGUUAAUGAGUGAAGGGGUCAUAGCAAGGAAGGAAGAGUAUUCCAAUGAGAGCGCAUCAGAUGAACUAGAGCUACCAUUGUACGAUUUGGACAUCAUAGCAAUGGCGACAAACAAUUUUAGCGACGAAAAUCAGCUCGGAGAAGGUGGUUUCGGCAUUGUUUACAAGGGUAUGUUACCGGAUGGGCAGAGAGUAGCGGUGAAGAGAUUGUCAAAGAAUUCUGGGCAAGGGACAACGGAGUUCAAGAACGAGGUUCGAUUGAUUGCAAGGUUGCAACAUAGGAACCUUGUGCGCCUGCUCGGUUGCUGCAUAGAGGUGGAAGAGAAGAUGUUAAUAUAUGAAUACAUGGAAAACAAAAGCCUGGAUUUCAUUUUAUUCAGUGAAGAGAAAUGCUCAUUGCUAGAUUGGCAAAGGCGCUUUAACAUCAUCAAUGGGAUUGCUCGAGGGCUUCUCUAUCUUCAUCAGGAUUCGAGAUUUAGGAUCAUUCACAGAGACCUCAAAGCAAGUAACAUUUUACUUGACAAAGAAAUGAAUCCAAAAAUAUCAGAUUUUGGCAUGGCAAGGAUUUUUGGUAAUGACCAGACUGAAGCAAAUACAAAAAGAGUCGUCGGAACAUAUGGAUACAUGUCUCCAGAAUAUGCGAUGGACGGACUUUUUUCAAUAAAAUCAGAUGUUUUUAGUUUUGGUGUACUGGUGCUUGAGAUAAUAACUGGCAAGAAGAACAAAGGAUUUUACAAUACCGAGGAUGAGCUUAAUCUUCUUGGACAUGCAUGGAGGCGAUGGAGAGAAGGAGAAAAGCUAGAACUAGUCGAUCCUGCAACGAGGGAUUCGUAUUCGCCAUAUGAGGCGGCUCGGUGCCUACAAGUGGGGCUCUUGUGCGUGCAGGAGCGAGCAGAAGACAGGCCAUCUAUGUCAGCUGUGGUGCUCAUGCUGAGCAGUGAAAAUGCUUCGUUGGCUCAGCCAAAACAGCCUGCUUUUUGCCUGGGAAGGAACCCUUUGGAAACAAAUUCAUUGUCCAGCAAGCAAGACGAGUCAUGCACUGUGAACCAAGUCACAGUUACGAUGAUCGACGGCCGAUAGCGGCCGGCCGGUGAACUUAAGACUCCACGAAAGGGUUUGGAUUUUUUGGUAACAAAAGUUUUACUUUGUAUGUGAUGUAUCAUGGGUUAAGACCCACCAACAAAGGCUCAACCUCACAAAAGAAAAGACUCAAAAAGCUGAAGGCGGCUGUCGCACAACCCGAGAGAUCAGGUCUCCCGAAGACUCUCCCGCGGAGCAAUCCCACAAUGGGAGGAAAGAAGUCCCGGGAGACCUCCAGGUCUCCUAAAUACUCUUCCCUGGGAUUUUUCUUGUUGAAAAAAUUGAGCUAUUUUCUCUAAAAUCAUACAAAUAUACUCGACAAAAAUUAUUGAAUAUAAUAACAAAUAAAACACUAGAAUAUAACGAAGAUCGGCCAAUUUAGCCUUACCAAAAUACUUCACUAAUUUUCAAAGGGAGAAAUACAAAUGAGAGAGAGAAAAAAGAAUACACAAUUUGUAGGAUGGUUUUACAAAUGGGGGGAAGACUCCUUUUAUGGUAUUUGUGACAUUAAUGCUUCGCCGGUCUGUAAAUGCAUCCGAGGGUUCGAGCCCAAGGAUCUACAGGCUUGGAAAAUGAGAAAUGGGUCUAGUGGGUGCGUUAGGACAUCGGAGCUAACCUGCCAUGGAGAUGGGUUUGGCAGUAGAAGAAUGUGAAGCUGCUGGAGACUUCGACCGCAGUUUUUAACAGGAGCAUGAGUCUGUCAGAGUGUCGGCAAGCUUGCCUGAGAAAUUGUUCGUGCACUGCCUAUGCCAAUUUGGACAUUAGGGAAGGUGGCUCCGGGUUUGUGAUGUGGAGCGGUGAUCUUCUUGAUAUGCGGCAGUUCGCCGUCGGGGAUGGCGGCCAAGAUCUAGAAGUUACGAGUUUUUGCCCCUGAUUUAGGGUAUGUUACCAGAAGGCCAGAAAAUAGCAGUGAAGAGAUACUGUCAAAUAAUUCUGGUCAAGGGGCAAACGAAUUCAAGAACGAGGUCCAAUUGAUUGCAAGGCUGCAGCAUAGAAACCUUGUACACCUGCUUGGUUGCUGCGUAAAGAUGGAAGAAAAGAUGUUGAUAUAUGAAUACAUGGAAAACAAAAGCCUGGACUUCAUUUUAUUCGGCGAGUCCCUGACUCACUCUCUUUAUACCUUUAGAACGAGAAAUGACAGAUUUACUGAGCAUGUUUUAAGAGUUGGGAAGUGAAAAUCUUGCAGACAGAGAAAUGCCCAUUGCUGGAUUCGCAAAAGUGCUUUAGCAUCAUCUGUGGGAUUGCUCGAGGGCUUCUCUAUCUUCACCAAGACUUGAGAUUUAGGAUCAUUCACAGAGACCUCAAAGCAAGUAACAUAUUACUUGACAGAGAAAUGAACUCGAAAAUAUCAGAUUUUGGCAUGGCAAGGAUUUUUGGAAGUGAUCAGACAGAAACAAAUACAAGAAGAGUUGUAGGAACAUAGUAAGUACAAUCCCACUCGCUCUCAGGUGUCUUCCAAUUGAUGAGCAAAGAGAAAAAGAAUAACAGUAAUAUAUAAAAGCAAGCACAAUCAGACUCUUACACACAAUAAUCAAUGCAGAAAACCUCUUUGAAAACUGACUAAGAAAAACCACAGGACCUGAAAUUCCACUUUACAACCUUCACUAUAAUGAAUGAACGGGCAGAACCUACUCCAAACUCAAUAACGGGUACACAACCUGAUUCCAAGAAACAAAGUAAAACAACUACAAAAAUUGGCAAACUACAACCAAAACAGAGGAUGCCAUUCAGACACCAAACUCUAAAUUUAGAGAACUUUGAUGAUUAAAUCCACUAAAAAAAUUGAAAUGCUACAAGUUAGUUACCUUGUGGCCAAAACUCAGCCAAAUUUGACCACAAUGACAUUGCUUCUGUUGGCUUGAACAAAACUACUGCAACGAACUUGCCUUAAUUUUUCUGUAUCAAAUUUCAGCCACACUUUUCUUGAAUACAGCUAAGCAUAGAAAACCCUAAUCCCUACAAUUAAAGGGAUAACGGACUUCAUAAUUUUGUCAAACAAAACAACCUGUUGAAUCUAGGACCGAUUAUUCACAUAAGAACUAUAACUUUCUCAUAGGCAACACUCACCCGAUAGAAAACAGUAAUAGGAUAAUAGAAAUCAGAACAAAACACAGCAAUAACAGAAAGAUAAAAGAGGCAAGAACUUAUCCUAGUUCAGGCAUGAAAUGCCCUACAUCCAGACUGUCAGUGACCGAGACAGAAUCCACUAGAAGCACAAUCAAGAUUACACUUAGACUAUAAACAAUAGCCCCCCUCUCAAGAAUACAAGGACCGAGCUGAUGCUCUCUCUCAGUUCUCUAAAGCUCGCGCAAGAUACAACAGAAUGAAAAAUGAAUGCUGAAAAUCCUAUCCCCUGAGAACCUACCCGCCUCUAUUUAUAAGAGAUAGAGGCGGUUACAAAACUGGGACUUAAAUGUAAAUAAAAUAGAAAUAAAAGGCUAUCGGUACUAACUCUAAGAAAGUUACAUUUUAAACUCAUAAAACAUAAAAUGCAAACUUACUUCUAACUACAUUUAACAUCCUCUACCGAGAAUUGAUACUAACUAAUGCAAAUUCUAACAAUUUUCUCCACCAAUUUGCAAUAGUUGAGUCUUCAAUCUCCAGUCUUCCAGGUUCUGAAUCUGUUUCCUUUCCUGCUAUCUCUCAGAUUUCUUCUAAACUUGAUUGCUUAGCCUUCUUUAAGCUACAUUAAGUAGCUUCAUGCAGUGCUUUAUCUUGGCUACUGGGACGGCCUUGGUGAACAUGUCUGCUGCAUUUUCUUCUCCUGCCACCUUUUCCAGUUUCAACAACUUCCUGUCAAGUAUUUCCCUGAUAAAA